CGGGGCGUGACGUAACUGGUAAACGUGCGUGACUCAAAAUCACGAUUCUGUGGGUUCGAAUCCCACCGCCCCGACCA
rnacentral:tRNA from 1 species